UACGGGGGGGGCAAGCGUUGUUCGGAAUUACUGGGCGUAAAGGGUGCGUAGGCGGCCAUGUAAGUAGGGUGUGAAAUCCCCCGGCUUAACCGGGGAACUGCGCCCUAAACUGUGUGGCUUGAGUGAGAUAGGGGUGUGUGGAACUUCCGGUGGAGCGGUGAAAUGUGUUGAUAUCGGAAGGAACGCCGGUGGCGAAAGCGACACACUGGGUCUCAACUGACGCUGAGGCACGAAAGCCAGGGGAGCGAACGGG
rnacentral:rRNA from 1 species